rnacentral:rRNA from 1 species
GUGAGGAAUAUUGCGCAAUGGAGGCAACUCUGACGCAGCCAUGCCGCGUGCAGGAAGAAGGCGCUACGCGUUGUAAACUGCUUUUAACCGGGAAGAAACCCCAGGACGUGUCCUGGGUUGACGGUACCGGAGGAAUAAGCACCGGCUAACUUCGUGCCAGCAGCCGCGGUAAUACGAAGGGUGCAAGCGUUAUCCGGAUUCAUUGGGUUUAAAGGGUGCGUAGGCGGAGCGUUAAGUCAGUGGUGAAAUCCUGCAGCUUAACUGUAGAAUUGCCAUUGAUACUGGCGCUCUUGAGUGCGCUUGAAGUGGGCGGAAUGUGUCGUGUAGCGGUGAAAUGCUUAGAUAUGGCACAGAACACCAAUUGCGAAGGCAGCUCACUAAGGCGAUACUGACGCUGAGGCACGAAAGCGUGGGGAUCGAACAGGAUUAGAUACCCUUGUAGUCC